UACGUAGGCAGCGAGCGUUGUUCGGAGUUAUUGGGCGUAAAGAGCUCGUAGGCGGUGUGUCGCGUCGGCCGUGAAAACCUGCAGCUUAACUGUGGGCGUGCGGUCGAUACGGGCAUCACUGGAGUUCGGCAGGGGAGACUGGAAUUCCUGGUGUAGCGGUGAAAUGCGCAGAUAUCAGGAGGAACACCGGUGGCGAAGGCGGGUCUCUGGGCCGAUACUGACGCUGAGGAGCGAAAGCGUGGGGAGCAAACAGG
rnacentral:rRNA from 1 species